AGUAAUGGUUUCCUUUGACCUAAUAAUUACUGUAUCUAAUUUUCACUUAAGAGUUAUAAUAAUAGUAGGUAUUAAGAGGUGGUAAGAAUUCUUCAUGAAUUCUUUAACAGUCUCAUUUUAAAAGCUAGAAAAGAUUAAGAAAA